rnacentral:rRNA from 1 species
GACGAACGCUGGCGGCGUGCUUAACACAUGCAAGUCGAACGGAAAGGCCCUGCUUUUGUGGGGUGCUCGAGUGGCGAACGGGUGAGUAACACGUGAGUAACCUGCCCUUGACUUUGGGAUAACUUCAGGAAACUGGGGCUAAUACCGGAUAUGAGCUCCUGCUGCAUGGUGGGGGUUGGAAAGUUUCGGCGGUUGGGGAUGGACUCGCGGCUUAUCAGCUUGUUGGUGGGGUAGUGGCUUACCAAGGCUUUGACGGGUAGCCGGCCUGAGAGGGUGACCGGCCACAUUGGGACUGAGAUACGGCCCAGACUCCUACGGGAGGCAGCAGUGGGGAAUAUGGCACAAUGGGCGGAAGCCUGAUGCAGCAACGCCGCGGGCGGGAUGACGGCCUUCGGGUUGUAAACCGCUUUCGCCUGUGACGAAGCGUGAGUGACGGUAAUGGGUAAAGAAGCACCGGCUAACUACGUG